UGUUCCAGUUUGAUCACUGAAGAUAAGCAACAUCGAGCCUGGUUAGUACUUAGAUGGGUGACUCCUCGGGAAUACCAGGUGCUAUA